GCUCAACCGAGGAAGUGCUUCGAAAACUGGUAAACUUGAGUGCAGAAGAGGAAAGUGGAACUCCAUGUGUAGCGGUGGAAUGCGUAGAUAUAUGGAAGAACACCAGUGGCGAAGGCGGCUUUCUGGUCUGUAACUGACGCUGAGAUUCGAAAGCAUGGGUAGCAAACAGGAUUAGAUACCCUGGUAGUCCAUGCCGUAAACGAUGAGUGCUAAGUGUUGGAGGGUUUCCGCCCUUCAGUGCUGCAGCUAACGCAUUAAGCACUCCGCCUGGGGAGUACGACCGCAAGGUUGAAACUCAAAGGAAUUGACGGGGGCCCGCACAAGCGGUGGAGCAUGUGGUUUAAUUCGAAGCAACGCGAAGAACCUUACCAGGUCUUGACAUACCAUGAAAAGCUUAGAGAUAAGUCUUUCCCUUCGGGGACAUGGAUACAGGUGGUGCAUGGUUGUCGUCAGCUCGUGUCGUGAGAUGUUGGGUUAAGUCCCGCAACGAGCGCAACCCUUAUUAUCAGUUGCCAGCAUUCAGUUGGGCACUCUGGUGAGACUGCCGGUGACAAACCGGAGGAAGGUGGGGAUGACGUCAAAUCAUCAUGCCCCUUAUGACCUGGGCUACACACGUGCUACAAUGGUCAGUACAACG
rnacentral:rRNA from 1 species